rnacentral:rRNA from 1 species
CUACGUGCCAGCAGCCGCGGUAAUACGGAGGGUGCGAGCGUUAAUCGGAAUAACUGGGCGUAAAGGGCACGCAGGCGGUGACUUAAGUGAGGUGUGAAAGCCCCGGGCUUAACCUGGGAAUUGCAUUUCAUACUGGGUCGCUAGAGUACUUUAGGGAGGGGUAGAAUUCCACGUGUAGCGGUGAAAUGCGUAGAGAUGUGGAGGAAUACCGAAGGCGAAGGCAGCCCCUUGGGAAUGUACUGACGCUCAUGUGCGAAAGCGUGGGGAGCAAACAGGAUUAGAUACCCUGGUAGUCCACGCUGUAAACGAUGUCGAUUUGGGGGUUGAACUUUAAGUUUGGCGCCCGUAGCUAACGUGAUAAAUCGACCGCCUGGGGAGUACGGCCGCAAGGUUAAAACUCAAAUGAAUUGACGGGGGCCCGCACAAGCGGUGGAGCAUGUGGUUUAAUUCGAUGCAACGCGAAGAACCUUACCUACUCUUGACAUCCAUGGAAUCUUGUAGAGAUACGAGAGUGC